GGGGAUGUGGCUUAGUGGUAGAGUGUGUGUCCAGCAUGUGCAAGGUGCUGGGUUAUAUCCCCAGCACCACA
rnacentral:tRNA from 1 species